AUUGAACGCUGGCGGAAUGCUUUACACAUGCAAGUCGAACGGUAGAGGGGGCAACCCCUCGAGAGUGGCGAACGGGUGAGUAAUAUAUCGGAACGUGCCCAGUCGUGGGGGAUAACGUAGCGAAAGUUACGCUAAUACCGCAUACGAUCUAAGGAUGAAAGCGGGGGAUCGCAAGACCUCGCGCGAUUGGAGCGGCCGAUAUCAGAUUAGGUAGUUGGUGGGGUAAAGGCUCACCAAGCCAACGAUCUGUAGCUGGUCUGAGAGGACGACCAGCCAAACUGGAACUGAGACACGGUCCAGACUCCUACGGGAGGCAGCAGUGGGGAAUUUUGGACAAUGGACGCAAGUCUGAUCCAGCCAUUCCGCGUGCAGGAUGAAGGCCCUCGGGUUGUAAACUGCUUUCGUACGGAACGAAAAGGUCUCUCUUAAUACGGGGGGCUCAUGACGGUACCGUAAGAAUAAGCACCGGCUAACUACGUGCCAGCCGCCGCGGUAA
rnacentral:rRNA from 1 species